rnacentral:rRNA from 1 species
UACAGAGGUCCCAAGCGUUGUUCGGAUUCACUGGGCGUAAAGGGUGCGUAGGUGGUGGGGUAAGUCGGAUGUGAAAUCUCCAGGCUCAACCUGGAAACUGCAUUGGAAACUACCUUGCUAGAGGGUUUGAGGGGGGACUGGAAUACUUGGUGUAGCAGUGAAAUGCGUAGAUAUCAAGUGGAACACCAGUGGCGAAGGCGAGUCCCUGGAAAAUACCUGACACUGAGGCACGAAAGCUAGGGGAGCAAACGGG